rnacentral:rRNA from 1 species
CCGGCGACCGGCGCACGGGUGAGUAACGCGUAUGCAACCUGCCCGUUUCAGCGGGAUAACCCGGAGAAAUCCGGCCUAAUACCGCAUGUGGCCGAGGGGAGGCAUCUUCUUUCGGCCAAAGGAGGCGACUCCGGAGACGGAUGGGCAUGCGUGACAUUAGCUAGUUGGCGGGGUAACGGCCCACCAAGGCGACGAUGUCUAGGGGUUCUGAGAGGAAGGUCCCCCACACUGGUACUGAGACACGGACCAGACUCCUACGGAAGGCAGCA